GCGCACGCCGGGCCAGGGGGCGGGGAAAAAGGGGUGGUGCAACCGUUAUCCGGAUUUAGUUGGUUUAAAGGGGCCGGAGGCGGACCGGGAAGUCAGGGGUGAAAGCCUACAGCUUAACUGUAGAACGGCCGUUGAUACUGUCGGUCUUGAGUGUGGUUGAGGUAGCUGGAAUGAGUAGUGUAGCGGUGAAAUGCAUAGAUAUUACUCAGAACACCAAUUGCGAAGGCAGGUUACCAAGUCACAACUGACGCUGAUGGACGAAAGCGUGGGGAGCGAACAGGAUUAGAUACCCUGGUAGUC
rnacentral:rRNA from 1 species